UACGGAAGGCAGCAGUGGGGAAUAUUGCACAAUGGGCGCAAGCCUGAUGCAGCCAUGCCGCGUGUAUGAAGAAGGCCUUCGGGUUGUAAAGUACUUUCAGCGGGGAGGAAGGCGAUGCGGUUAAUAACCGCGUCGAUUGACGUUACCCGCAGAAGAAGCACCGGCUAACUCCGUGCCAGCAGCCGCGGUAAUACGGAGGGUGCAAGCGUUAAUCGGAAUUACUGGGCGUAAAGCGCACGCAGGCGGUCUGUUAAGUCAGAUGUGAAAUCCCCGGGCUUAACCUGGGAACUGCAUUUUGAACUGGCAGGCUUGAGUCUUGUAGAGGGGGUAGAAUUCCAGGUGUAGCGGUGAAAUGCGUAGAGAUCUGGAGGAAUCCGGUGGCGAAGGCGGCCCCUGGGACAAGACUGACGCUCAGGUGCGAAAGCGUGGGGAGCAAACAGGGAUUAGGAUACC
rnacentral:rRNA from 1 species